ensembl:lncRNA
AUUUGACCUUCUCCCCAGAAAAUUAUUUCUCUGAAGAUCAUACUUCCUAUAUUUGUCUUACUUUGUGCCUGGCAGAGAAUUAAUUAACACAUAAUUGCUUUGGUGAACUCCGGAUAAAACUUCUCUGUUCAAGAACUCUAUUCAUUUACUGAUUAACUUGCUUCAUGGCUGAGUUAGUUCUGCAGGGUCAUGCUGUACUAAUGACCAGAGCACAGGAACGCUGUCAAACCAAUGAGAACAAGGUAGGCUUGGCAGCUCUCCAGGUUCUGUUCAAUUAAUCACUGAAAUUUCAGGAGCUUUGGGGACAGAGUUGAAAAAUAUCCCUCAGUCAACAGGGUUGAAAUUCUGGCCUUGCUGAAAUUGAUGACAAAACUAUUAACAUCCAUGGGGCCAGAAUGUAACUUGAAGAAUCUUUCUCAAACCAGAAAAGUCCUUCUAUGUUCAAGAAACUUUUAGACUGUGACCAGCUAUGUGGCAGACUUCUGUUAACUCUGGGGUGAUUUACAGCAACAAAAAUGUCUGCAAGAUGCGCUUUGCUGAAGCGUGCAGCAGGAGUGCUCAGCAUGCAGGAGUGCCAUUCAUUGUAGUCAGACACACUCUUUGAAAUCAUAUGCUCCCAGCAGAUUAGUAAGAGUUUUAAUCUCAAAAGACAAAUCUGCCCCACCAUUGAAUUCAUGGAGAGCUGCAUUCCUCACGCAUGAGUAUAUGAAAACCUUGUUGUCCCGGCUGCACUGCUAAGGACUUCACAGGGCAAUGUGUGUGUCCUCCUCACAAAGACAUUGUGCCAAACCAGAGCUUUCAUUUUUUCUCAAUUCAGAAUAAAAUUAUCAGGGUUUUGGUCCUGCACAGGCACACUUGUCCAGCAAGAGUAGACAAGAACCAGAAAUUUUUAGGAGCAGAAAGUGGCAACGGCAGAUAAUCACUGUUGAGAUAAAAAUUCUCAGCAACGCUCAACUCGCAGGAGAAUAAACUGGAAGUUUUGAUAAACAGCCCUCGCUCUGCUUUGAUGCCUGCCCACACAAAGCCACUGUUUUCUGUAAAACAUUUUGCCCUUGUUUGCUUCUAAUGUAAAUUUGAGGUCACUUGGUAGAAAUGCAACACCAUAGGGAGAUAUGAACACUCAUGGAAUUAGUGAAUGCUUGAAAAGGUAAAAUUCCUAUCCUUGCUGUAGUGAUUAUGAAUACCAGAUUUUUUGUCGUGUUUUUCUCUCUCCAUCUCUCUCUUUUUUUGUUGUAUAUAUAGCCAGUGAUAUUAAUGGCACUCUCGUGUCAGACUUAUUUUUCUAAAUGAAUACUAAGAAUGUUUAAGAGUUCACAUAAUCCAUCUCUAGAAAGGAUAUUUAGCUAAUCUUUCUCAUUUAAUAUACACACAAAAAACUAGACAGGUUUUCACCCAUAAACCUCUGUGGCAUAAAAUGAACAACAGCAACUUUGCCAGCAGUCCAUUUUUAUAAAUAUUCUGCUCAAACAUUUUAGACACGUUCUUUUUCUGGAACUUUAAUAUUCUGGAGGUGAUAAGCUUACACCUUGGAAGCAGCUGACAGUUUGUAAACUCAAGUGAUGAUGACUGCAGAAGCCAAAAUAUUUCUUGUCGUAAUACAUCAGGUCAACUCAUAAGAUGAUCUUGUUUGUUUGCAUUUCAAUGAGUUGCUAGUUGAGUGAUUUACACCAGCUGUUUCAAAAAGCAGGAUACAAGCGAUGUCCCGUGUAAUGAUGAGCUGAUGCUGGUUAAAACAUGGCCUUAGUGAUACGUGCUUAUUUGCUCACUUCUUCCACUUUUAUUUUGGUGGAAAGAUGUUCAGUUAAUUUUUUUUCUUUUGGUUUCUUUAUGAUUCUUCUCUUGCUGGCUUGGCCCAGUGCAAAGAACAUAGUUCAUAAGAGUAUAUAGAAAGAGCUAUUUUUGUGGUAUUACUGCCCUGCUAGCCCUAAUUAUCAUUAUGUCUCUUGAGAAAUAAGUGGUUCUAAUAGUCCUGGGCUUUUCCUAUCCAUGCUGCUUCUUCAGAAGAUAAUUGCUGUCUAUUUCAAACCUUUUCCCUGGCAGAGUAAGGAACGGUCAUGUCCUGUCUCCUCUCUUGCCUCUCUCCCCACCAUGCAUUAAUUUCUCUACAAAAAAUCUAAUAUAGCUCAUCUCUGCUUCUCACUGCAGGCUUCCCUGGCAACAACAACAGCUGAAAAACUUGUGUUUUCCUUUUUUAUAUACAUUUGCAGAUCUGUGAUAAGAAACAACAAAGUCAAAGGGUUCGAAAGUAAAAGUAUAGAAUGAAUUAGAUGUAAAUCUAUCCAAUAGCAAUGGUAUUUCAAAGAGUGUGUCUCAGCACUGCUUGCUGCCAGGCAGUUCAGAGAGAGCAGGAGAAUACCUACGCAUUUGGGCUCUCACGCUCUUUGACCUCCGACUACAGUCUAUCAAGUAUUUUAAAGCACUUAUUAUACCUCUAGUUAUAUUUCCAUAAAAUAUAGAAAUAUUUUCUUUGGGAAGACCAAAGCCUUAUAAACACACCGGGAAGAGCAACGUACAGCAAACAAUAACACAUAUGCUCUGAUCCUUCACUUGUUCCGUCCUGGUCCUCAGCAAGUCCUACAGUUGUGUGACAGAAAGGAGCACUCACGUCGCACAGGGAGGAAACAGCUGGUCUCUGGAUUUCCAGCGGGUAAACACAUAUGUCUUGAAUUAUUGUUCUGGAGCACAUGGGACGUGGAAAAAGAGCCUGGAUUUGUCCCCGAGCAUGGGAUCUACUACGACCUCCUGGGUAACCCGGAGGUGCAGGCAUCUACUUAUACGCCGUAUGGAUGCAUUUUGAUAAUAACCACACGAGGGCAGAAAAGAACAGACAUCUGCGGACAGCCAGACGGCAGCCUGAUUUAAGAGAAGCGUCAAGUUCUGAUAUUUUUGUAAGGGAUUUUCUAUAUUUAUCCAUUCAAACGCACACACAUCUGGAAUUAUUUAAAUAUAAAUAUAUCGAUAGAACACAUGUACACAGUGAAUAUAUAUUUAUAGUGUGCAUUUGUAAAUAUGUAUUUCUGGCAAGUAUGAGGAAAAUCGGUUUGGUUUUAAUUUUGGAUUGGCCUCAGUAAGGAUCUGAGAAUAACAGAGGCAUAAAAACAACUGAACCAUAUUUCCCUCUCAUUAACAUAAGCUGACAGUGCUUUCUUCAGUCUUUACUACUGUACAGGUAGGAGGCUGCGAUUAAGCAAGACAAGGAUCAAACUCUGAAAUGGGGAGACCCAUACAAUCAUAAGGGUUUCCAUGAUCAGGGACACCCCCAUUUUACGAGCUUCAGAUGUCCUGUACUGAGCAACUGGAAGAAGCGAGUUUUGGUCAUAUAAAGCACAAGUCAAAAAAACGAACUUUGUUAUUACUAAUCUACACAGUUACACUGAAUACAUGGUGCAUACCAGUAUUUAAAAUCUCCCAGCCUCACUAAAUCAAAGUGAUCUCAGAUAUGCAAUACAUUUUUA